GCGAUGAGCUGAAUUGUGUAAGUCGAUGGACACGCUCUGUGAGCAAGGCAUGAAUGUGGUCAUGCUGUCCUUCGCCUCAAUACGCAGGAAGACACCUUUUAUAGGUGUCUU
rnacentral:sRNA from 1 species